rnacentral:rRNA from 1 species
GCAAGUCGACGAUGAAGCCUUUCGGGGUGGAUUAGUGGCGAACGGGUGAGUAACACGUGGGCAAUCUGCCCUGCACUCUGGGACAAGCCCUGGAAACGGGGUCUAAUACCGGAUAUUACUCGUCAAGGCAUCUUGACGGGUGGAAAGCUCCGGCGGUGCAGGAUGAGCCCGCGGCCUAUCAGCUUGUUGGUGGGGUGAUGGCCUACCAAGGCGACGACGGGUAGCCGGCCUGAGAGGGCGACCGGCCACACUGGGACUGAGACACGGCCCAGACUCCUACGGGAGGCAGCAGUGGGGAAUAUUGCACAAUGGGCGAAAGCCUGAUGCAGCGACGCCGCGUGAGGGAUGACGGCCUUCGGGUUGUAAACCUCUUUCAGCAGGGAAGAAGCGCAAGUGACGGUACCUGCAGAAGAAGCACCGGCUAACUACGUGCCAGCAGCCGCGGUAAUACGUAGGGUGCGAGCGUUGUCCGGAAUUAUUGGGCGUAAAGAGCUCGUAGGCGGCUUGUCGCGUCGGAUGUGAAAGCCCGGGGCUUAACCCCGGGUCUGCAUUCGAUACGGGCAGGCUAGAGUUCGGUAGGGGAGAUCGGAAUUCCUGGUGUAGCGGUGAAAUGCGCAGAUAUCAGGAGGAACACCGGUGGCGAAGGCGGAUCUCUGGGCCGAUACUGACGCUGAGGAGCGAAAGCGUG